AUCAGAGGGCUCUAGAACAGUAGAGAGAUAUCAGAGGGCUCUAGAACAGUAGAGAGAUAUCAGAGGGCUCUAGAACAGUAGAGGGACAUCAGAUGGCUCUAGAACAGUAUAGAUAUCAGAGGGCUCUAGAACAGUAGAGAGAUAUCAGAGGGCUCUAGAACAGUAGAGGGACAUCAGAUGGCUCUAGAACAGUAGAGGGAUAUCAGAGGGCUCUAGAACAGUAGAGAGAUAUCAGAGGGCUCUAGAACAGUAGAGAGACAUCAGAUGGCUCUAGAACAGUAGAGGGAUAUCAGAGGGCUCUAGAACAGUAGAGAGAUAUCAGAGGGCUCUACAACAGUAGAGAGAUAUCAGAGGGCUCUAGAACAGUAGAGGGACAUCAGAUGGCUCUAGAACAGUAUAGAUAUCAGAGGGCUCUAGAACAGUAGAGAGAUAUCAGAGGGCUCUAGAACAGUAGAGAGAUAUCAGAAGGCUCUAGAACAGUAGAGAGAUAUCAGAGGGCUCUAGAACAGUAGAGAGAUAUCAGAGGGCUCUACAACAGUAGAGAGAUAUCAGAGGGCUCUACAACAGUAGAGAGAUAUCAGAGGGCUCUAUAACAGUAGAGGGACAUCAGAUGGCUCUAGAACAGUAUAGAUAUCAGAGGGCUCUAGAACAGUAGAGAGAUAUCAGAGGGCUCUAGAACAGUAGAGAGACAUCAGAGGGCACUAGAACAGUAGAGAGACAUCAGAGGGCUCUAGAACAGUAGCGAGAUAUCAGAAGGCUCUAGAACAGUAGAGCGAUAUCAGAGGGCUCUACAACAGUAGAGAGAUAUCAGAGGGCUCUAGAACAGUAGAGGGAUAUCAGAGGGCUCUACAACAGUAGCAAGAUAUCAGAAGGCUCUAGAACAGUAGAGAGAUAUCAGAGGGCUCUACAACAGUAGAGAGAUAUCAGAGGGCUCUAGAACAGUAGAGAGAUAUCAGAGGGCUCUAGAACAGUAGAGAGAUAUCAGAGGGCUCUACAACAGUAGCAAGAUAUCAGAAGGCUCUAGAACAGUAGAGAGAUAUCAGAGGGCUCUACAACAGUAGAGAGAUAUCAGAGGGCUCUAGAACAGUAGAGGGAUAUCAGAGGGCUCUAGAACAGUAGAGGGAUAUCAGAGGGCUCUAGAACAGUAGAGAGAUAUCAGAGGGCUCUAGAACAGUAGAGGGAUAUCAGAGGGCUCUAGAACAGUAGCGAGAUAUCAGAGGGCUCUAGAACAGUAGAGGGAUAUCAGAGGGCUCUAGAACAGUAGCGAGAUAUCAGAGGGCUCUAGAACAGUAGAGGGAUAUCAGAGGGCUCUAGAACAGUAGUGAGAUAUCAGAGGGCUCUAGAACAGUAGAGGGCUCUAGAACAGUAGAGAGAUAUCAGAGGGCUCUAGAACAGCAGCGAGAUAUCAGAGGGCUCUAGAACAGUAGCGAGAUAUCAGAGGGCUCUAGAACAGUAGCGAGAUAUCAGAGGGCUCUAGAACUGUAGCGAGAUAUCAGAGGACUCUAGAACAGUAGCGGGAUAUCAGAGGGCUCUAGAACAGUAGAGAGCUAUCAGAGGGCUCUAGAACAGUAGAGAGAUAUCAGAGGGCUAAGGAAUAAAGAACCUUAAGCAGCAAUAUCUCUAUUCCAACAACUCAGGAACCCUCUGAAUUUAAAGGUUAUAGUGUAAUUUGGAUGAACUAUCCCUUUAAGCAAACAGCAAACACAAAGUGAUAGCCUCCCUAUGUACAAGAGAGUCAUUGGAGGCUGGUCAAGGGAGGACGGCUCAUAAUAAUGGCUGGAAUGGAAUAGAUGGAACGGAGUCAAACACUGGGAAGAAACCAAGUCUAGAUGUGUUUGAUGCCUGUCUAUUCAUUCCAGCCAUUACUAUGAGUCCCUCCUCAGAUUCAAGGUGGCACCAGCCACCACUGAUAAGUGUACUGACUGAGACCUUUUAAAGAGGAGCAACUGACUGAGACCUUUUAAAGAGGAACAACUGACUGAGACCUUUUAAAGAGGAACAACUGACUGAGACCUUUUAAAGAGGAACAACUGACUGAGACCUUUUAAAGAGGAGCAACUGACUGAGACCUUUAAAGAGGAGCAACUGACCGAGAUCUUUAAAGAGGAGCAACUGACUGAGACCUUUUAAAGAGGAACAACUGACUGAGACCUUUUAAAGAGGAGCAACUGACUGAGACCUUUUAAAGAGGAACAACUGACUGAGACCUUUUAAAGAGGAGCAACUGACUGAGACCUUUUAAAGAGGAACAACUGACUGAGACCUUUUAAAG
ensembl:lncRNA